rnacentral:rRNA from 1 species
AUUGAACGCUAGCGGGAUGCUUUACACAUGCAAGUCGAACGAGUGGCGGACGGGUGAGUAAUAUAUCGGAACGUGCCCAGUAGCGGGGGAUAACUACUCGAAAGCGUGGCUAAUACCGCAUACUAUUGUAGCGGCCGAUAUCGGAUUAGCUAGAUGGUGGGGUAAAGGCUCACCAAGGCAACGAUCCGUAGCUGCUUUGACAGGACGACCAACCACGCUGGGAGUGAGAAACGGCCCAGAUUACAACGUGAGGCGGCAGUGGGGAAGUUUGGAAAAUGGGGGAAACCGUGAUACAGCCAUCCGGAGUGUAUGAGGAGGCCUUCAGGUUGUAAAGUACUUUUGGCAGAGAAGCGGUAUCUGCAGAAAAAGCACCGGCUAACUACGUGCGAGCUGAGGCGGUAAUAC